rfam:Schistosoma rodhaini strain Burundi genome assembly, scaffold: SROB_scaffold0000822
AUCCAACUGACGAGUCCCAAAUAGGACGAAAUGGCGCGUGUCCUGGAU